rnacentral:misc_RNA from 1 species
AACACUGUUAACCUGCGGUACCUGCGGAGGGAUCAUUAUAGUAUAUGGAAUCUCCAUUCUAUAAACCCACUCUGCGUAUCUUGUAACUGUUGCUUCCAUGGGACUUGGUUCCGCCACACCGGCUUCACGGCUGGUGAGCGCCCAUGGAAGGAGAAACAAAACUCUUCUUUGAAAUGUAGUCAGUCUGAACAGGUUUUUAUAAACGUUAAAACUUUUAGCAACGGAUCUCAGAUCGGAAGA